CCUACGGGAGGUAGCAGUGAGGAAUAUUGGUCAAUGGGCGUAAGCCUGAACCAGCCAAGUCGCGUGAGGGAUGAAGGUUCUAUGGAUCGUAAACCUCUUUUAUAAGGGAAUAAAGUGUGGGACGUGUCCUGUUUUGUAUGUACCUUAUGAAUAAGGAUCGUCUAACUCCGUGCCAGCAGCCGCGGUAAUACGGAGGAUCCGAGCGUUAUCCGGAUUUAUUGGGUUUAAAGGGUGCGUAGGCGGCCUUUUAAGUCAGCGGUGAAAGUCUGUGGCUCAACCAUAGAAUUGCAGUUGAAACUGGGAGGCUUGAGUAUGUUUGAGGUAGGCGGAAUGCGUGGUGUAGCGGUGAAAUGCUUAGAUAUCACGCAGAACCCCGAUUGCGAAGGCAGCCUGCCAGGCCAUGACUGACGCUGAUGCACGAAAGCGUGGGGAUCAAACAGGAUUAGAUACCCGUGUAGUC
rnacentral:rRNA from 1 species